rnacentral:rRNA from 1 species
CAGUGUCCGGCAUGUCCAAAUUCUAGUAUGAGAAAUUAACGAUUUAAGUCCUUCUUAAAUGAGGCCAUUUACCCAUAGAGGGUGCCAGGCCCGUAUAACGUUAAUGAUUACUAGAUGGCAUUUCCAAAGAGUCGUGUUGCUUGAUAGUGCAGCACUAAGUGGGUGGUAAACUCCAUCUAAAACUAAAUAUAACCAUGAGACCGAUAGUAAACAAGUACCGUGAGGGAAAGUUGAAAAGAACUCUGAAUAGAGAGUUAAAUAGUACGUGAAACUGCUUAGAGGUUAAGCCCGAUGAACCUGAAUAUCCAUUAUAGAAAAUUCAUCAUUAUGAUUUUAAUAUUUAUAAUAUUAUAAUAAUGGUGUGCAUUUUUUCUAUAACGGACAUUGUAAUCUAUUAACAUAAAUAUAUUUAUCAUAAGAUCAAUGAUGCGUAAGUUUAUUCAAAUUAUUUUGCUUGCAAUUUAACAUAGAAUAAAUGCUCUUGAUUUGAUAAAGUGUUGAUAGAUUUAUUGUAUAUAGUGCUUAAAUAUUUAUAUUUUAUAAUAGCAUAUUAAUCAUUGAUUUUUAUGUUUAUUAUAUGCACUUAUAUGAUUAACAAUGCGAAAGAUUCAGGAUACCUUCGGGACCCGUCUUGAAACACGGACCAAGGAGUCUAACAUAUUUGCAAGUUAUUGGGUAUCAAAACCUAAUAGCGAAAUUAACAUAACUUUAAUGGGAUUAGUUUUUAGAUUAUUUAUAGUCUAUUAAUUCAAUCCCGGGGCGUUCUUWAUAGUUAUGUAUAAUAAUCUUUAUAUUAUUUAUACCUCUAACUAGAGCGUACCUUGAGCAUAUAUGCUGUGACCCGAAAGAUGGUGAACUAUA